rnacentral:siRNA from 1 species
UCGGUGAAGGUGUGGCAC